ACAGGCUAAGGAUGAAGUACAUAUUUGCUUUCUCUAGGCCCAGCUCUGUGAAUAUGAAACUCUCCUCUCCUGCAAAGACACUGCCCUUACUGAGAAAACAAACCAUGCGGAAGAACUGACAGCGAUGCUGGCGGAGUACAGGACAGUGGUGCAGGAGCUGAGACUGGAAACAAGCCAGCUUCAGGAGCAGCUGUGUCAAACCACCGAAGACCUGGCCAUGCUGCCGAAGGAGCUGCCCCACGAGCUUAAACCCCAUGUUCAGCUUCCCGCACAGCCACUCUGCGUGGAGAUAGAAGAGAUCCAGCAGGUAGGGGGAGGGGCAGCCUGGCAAGCCCAGUUAACCUUGCGCUUUGAUCCCAGCAGAGUUCAAAAGUCAAGCCAGGCUAGGCCUGCUCAGGAGCUGGCUGGGAGGUCUCAAAGGAACAGCUAAGGUAGUAGUGUUGGUGAUGCAGUAGGGGGCACUGGCCUGCAG
rnacentral:lncRNA from 1 species